AGCAACAGCUGAUCUCUGAAGCUCUGCGGUGAUCAGUCAUGGGUCUGAAGGACUUCUGGAGGAGCUACAAAGUGUUGAUUGUGAUGGUCCCGAGUCUGGGGCUGAUCCACUGGGGCUGGUACAACCUGAAGGCUAACCCACAGCUGCACAAAGCCAGAGAGGAGUACGUUCCUGAGCCCGGCAUCGUCGCCUACGUCUCCCCGCCUCCUGCUGCUGCCGCAAAGAGCAAGUAGCCCAAAAGAGGCGUCGGUAUGAAGCCUGGGAGCUGGCUGCGGAGGAACUGGCUGUGGGCAGCCGGCGGGGCCUUCGUCACCGUCCACCUGGCCACCUGGCUGAUGCAGAGCGCCAUGCGGAGCGCCGUGCGCUCUGAGGCCGCGCUCAAAAACAAAGCUGCCGAGGGAAGACCGGACUGACGUUGACUCGGCUUCUCGUAGCAUCUGUCCAGAGGACGGACAGAAACCAGCGACCAGCACGGCCAUAAACUGUCCCCCUCACUCUAAAUAUUAAAUGGGGAUCAUAUCAUAUUACUGCAGUGGAAAACCUACUCCCACUGUUGGACUUAAUCUAGUUUUCUUCUGUUUAAUUUCACGGUUGGUUGAUGAGUGGGUUGUGGUUUGCUGUGAAUCGAUCAA